UGCCCGGUCGUCUAAUGGUAGGACAACGGACUCUGAAUCCGUUUAUCAUGGUUCGAAUCCAUGCUGGGCAG
rnacentral:tRNA from 1 species